CUUGGUCAUUUAGAGGAAGUAAAAGUCGUAACAAGGUUUCCGUUGGUGAACCAGCGGAAGGAUCAUUACAGAGAUCAUGCCCUCACGGGUAGACCUCCCACCCUGUUUAUAUACUAUUGUUGCUUUGGCAGGCCGCCUUCGGGCUCCCGGCUUCGGCUGGGGAGCGCCUGCCAGAGGACCCAAACUCUUGUGUUAAAAAUGUCGUCCGAGUACUAUAUAAUAAGUUAAAACUUUCAACAACGGAUCUCUUGGUUCUGGCAUCGAUGAAGAACGCAGCGAAAUGCGAUAAGUAAUGUGAAUUGCAGAAUUCAGUGAAUCAUCGAAUCUUUGAACGCACAUUGCGCCCCUUGGUAUUCCGGGGGGCAUGCCUGUUCRAGCGUCAUUUCAACCCUCAAGCCUAGCUUGGUCUUGGGCUCUGCCGGCAACGGCUUGCCUUAAAAUCAGUGGCGGUGCCAUCGAGCUCUACGCGUAGUAAUUAUACCCUCGCUUCUGAGUCUCGGCGGUCGCUUGCCAGCAACCCCCAAUUUUUCUAUGGUUGACCUCGGAUCAGGUAGGGAUACCCGCUGAACUUAAGCAUAUCAAUAAGCGGAGGAAAAGAAACCAACAGGGAUUACCUCAGUAACGGCGAGUGAAGCGGUAACAGCUCAAAUUUGAAAUCUGGCUCUUUCAGGGUCCGAGUUGUAAUUUGUAGAAGAUGCUUCGGGUGUGGCUCCGGUCUAAGUUCCUUGGAACAGGACGUCAUAGAGGGUGAGAAUCCCGUAUGUGACUGGCUGCCUCCGCCCAUGUGAAGCUCUUUCGACGAGUCGAGUUGUUUGGGAAUGCAGCUCAAAAUGGGUGGUAAAUUUCAUCUAAAGCUAAAUAUUGGCCAGAGACCGAUAGCGCACAAGUAGAGUGAUCGAAAGAUGAAAAGCACUUUGGAAAGAGAGUUAAACAGUACGUGAAAUUGUUGAAAGGGAAGCGCUUGCAAUCAGACUUGCACGCUGCCGAUCAUCUGGGGUUCUCUCCAGUGCACUCGGUUGCGUUCAGGCCAGCAUCGGUUUGGGUGGUUGGAUAAAGGCCUUGGGAAUGUAGCUUCUUUCGGGGAGUGUUAUAGCCCUCGGUGCAAUGCAGCCUAUCCGGACCGAGGACCGCGCUUCGGCUAGGAUGCUGGCGUAAUGGUUGUAAGCGACCCGUCUUGAAACACGGACC
rnacentral:rRNA from 1 species